rnacentral:misc_RNA from 1 species
UUAAGUUCAGCGGGUAUUCCUACCUGAUCCGAGGUCAACAUUUCAGAAAUUUGGGGUGUUUAACGGCUGUGGACGCGCCGCGCUCCCGAUGCGAGUGUGCAAACUACUGCGCAGGAGAGGCUGCGGCGAGACCGCCACUGUAUUUCGGAGACGGCCCCCGGUGAGGGAGGCCGAUCCCCAACGCCGACCCCCCGGAGGGG